AAACCAAGAAGACUAAGUCAUACAUUUUCGGUCAAAAGAUAGUUAGGUAGUUUUAGAUAGUUCAUUUAAUUGCUAUUAAGAGGUAGAAUUCGCAAAUAGCCUAGAGAUCUAACAGUAACUAGUAUAUUGAAGCUAUGAUAGCCCUGAGGGAAACUGGGAUUAGAUACCCCAUUAUUCUCGGAGGUAAAAAUAUAGAUCUACCAGAGUACUACGAAUUAAGUACAUUUGAAACUCAAAGAGCUUGGCGGUGUUUUAGACUUUUCAGGGGAACCUGUCUCAUAAUCGACAAUCCACGAGAUACCCUACCUUUAUUUGCUUUCAGUUUGUAUACCGUCGUCGGCAGGUAACUUUUUAGAAAGAAGAAGUUAGCAAAAGGAUUAACAAAUAAAUCCUUACGUCAGAUCAAGGUGCAGUCAACAUAAAGGAGAGGAUGGGUUACAAUUAUUAAAAUUAUAAAUACGGAAUAGUACUUUGAAAUAUAACUAUGAAGGAGGACUUGAAAGUAAAUUAGAUUAGAUAAAUAUCUUGAAUUAAGCUCUGAAACGUGC
rnacentral:rRNA from 1 species